CCCUCCCUCUUCCUUCCUGCCUAACACAUGCAAGUCGAACGAGACCUUCGGGUCUAGUGGCGCACGGGUGCGUAACGCGUGGGAACCUGCCCUUAGGUUCGGAAUAACUCCCCGAAAGGGGUGCUAAUACCGGAUAAUGUCUUCGGACCAAAGAUUUAUCGCCUUUGGAUGGGCCCGCGUUGGAUUAGCUAGUUGGUAGGGUAAAAGCCUACCAAGGCGACGAUCCAUAGCUGGUCUGAGAGGAUGAUCAGCCACACUGGGACUGAGACACGGCCCAGACUCCUACGGGAGGCAGCAGUGGGGAAUAUUGGACAAUGGGCGAAAGCCUGAUCCAGCAAUGCCGCGUGAGUGAUGAAGGCCUUAGGGUUGUAAAGCUCUUUUACCCGGGAUGAUAAUGACAGUACCGGGAGAAUAAGCUCCGGCUAACUCCGUG
rnacentral:rRNA from 1 species